rnacentral:lncRNA from 1 species
UUUUAGAGUAAAAAAAAAUUUGGCUACUUUUGAUUCUUCGCAUAUCUUUUUACUAGGGGUGGCAAUCCAGCUCGUUGUUCGUGAGCUAGUUCGUGUUCGGCUCGAAAUAAGCUCGAGAUCGGCUCGCUCGUUUAGUAAACGAGCCGAACACGAGCUGGAUUUUUCAGCUCGUUUAAUAAAGAGCGAACACGAGCUACGGUCAACUCGCUCGUGUUCGGCUCGAUAACAGCUCGAAUAUAUAUAUUUUAUAUUUAUAUAAUUUAUUUAAUUUACAUUUUUAUAUAAAAAUAAAUAAUUAUAUAUAAUAUAUAUUUUUAUUAUUUAAAUUUUAGAAAAAUAAAAAUAUAAAU